GAAUGUCUUCAGGGCGGGGUGGAAGUCCCCACCGGCGGUAGGCGCGGCGACGCGCGAGCCCGCGAGCGCUGCCGGCGGCGUGCGAGAUCCUCGCAUCGGCCCUGGCAGGUCAGCAGACCCGGUCGAAGUCCGGGGCCGACGGUCACAGUCCGGAUGCGAGAAGACGACG
rnacentral:ncRNA from 2 species